AUUGAACGCUGGCGGCAUGCCUUACACAUGCAAGUCGAACGGUAACAGGUCUUCGGAUGCUGACGAGUGGCGAACGGGUGAGUAAUAUAUCGGAACGUGCCCAGUCGUGGGGGAUAACGCAGCGAAAGCUGUGCUAAUACCGCAUACGAUCUAUGGAUGAAAGCGGGGGAUCGCAAGACCUCGCGCGAUUGGAGCGGCCGAUAUCAGAUUAGGUAGUUGGUGGGGUAAAGGCCCACCAAGCCAACGAUCUGUAGCUGGUCUGAGAGGACGACCAGCCACACUGGAACUGAGACACGGUCCAGACUCCUACGGGAGGCAGCAGUGGGGAAUUUUGGACAAUGGGCGCAAGCCUGAUCCAGCCAUGCCGCGUGCAGGAUGAAGGCCUUCGGGUUGUAAACUGUCUUUUGUACGGAAACGAAAAGACUCUUUCUAAUAAAGGAGGGUCCAUGACGGUACCGUAAGAAUAAGCACCGGCUAACUACGUG
rnacentral:rRNA from 1 species